AUACGGAGGGUGCAAGCGUUAUCCGGAAUCAUUGGGUUUAAAGGGUCCGUAGGCGGGAUAAUAAGUCAGGGGUGAAAUCCCACAGCUUAACUGUGGAACUGCCCUUGAUACUGUUGGUCUUGAGUUACAGUGAAGUGGUUAGAAUGUGUAGUGUAGCGGUGAAAUGCAUAGAGAUUACACAGAAUACCGAUUGCGAAGGCAGAUCACUAACUGUAUACUGACGCUAAUGGACGAAAGCGUGGGGAGCGAACAGGAUUAGAAACCCCAGUAGUCC
rnacentral:rRNA from 1 species